rnacentral:rRNA from 1 species
AUUGAACGCUGGCGGCAUGCCUAACACAUGCAAGUCGAGCGGAUGAAGGGAGCUUGCUCCUGGAUUCAGCGGCGGACGGGUGAGUAAUGCCUAGGAAUCUGCCUGGUAGUGGGGGAUAACGUCCGGAAACGGGCGCUAAUACCGCAUACGUCCUGAGGGAGAAAGUGGGGGAUCUUCGGACCUCACGCUAUCAGAUGAGCCUAGGUCGGAUUAGCUAGUUGGUGGGGUAAAGGCCUACCAAGGCGACGAUCCGUAACUGGUCUGAGAGGAUGAUCAGUCACACUGUAACUGAGACACGGUCCAGACUCCUACGGGAGGCCGCAGUGGGGAAUAUUGGACAAUGGGCGAAUGCCUGAUCCAGCCAUGCCGCGUGUGUGCAGAAGGUCUUCGGAUUGUAAAGCACUUUAAGUUGGGAGGACGGGCAGUACGUUAAUACCUUGCUGUUUUGACGUUACCAACAGAAUAAGCACCGGCUAACUUCGUG